rnacentral:lncRNA from 1 species
AUGUUCUCUGAAAGGUUUGAGAUGUUCCGCAACGAACAGCCGUUGCAUGGUCCUGCUCGUCCCAGAAGGACGCGGAGGAGAAAUGUGACAUGUACAUUUAAAGUAACUCUUCUCCGCACUGGUAUUGAUCGGUUAUCUUCUUUGAGAGAUGCCAUUGCCAGUCAGAGACUUGUUGUACAGAGAGAGCAGAGUGAGACACAGUUUGCAGAAAUUCUCAGAAGCACGUUUCCACAGCUUCAAGGGAGAGAGUUUGAAUUAUGCAGGGUUGAUGCACAGAGGCAGGUUUCACGUUUGAGUCUGGAGUCAAAAACCCCAGCAGCCAUAAUUGGUAGUGGGCAGCUAGGAAGAUCGGCACUUUAUGUACAAGAGAAGAGUACUUAUGCACUUGCACAAGUGAACUCCUCUCCAGCUCCAGCCGUGGCCUCCUUCUCAUCUCCAGCCGUGGCCUCCGUUCUCAGCUCCAG